rnacentral:lncRNA from 1 species
GGGAGUCUGUCACCUCUCCUGGUAUAAAAAAAUACAAAGAAAUAAUGGAAAACAAUCACUUGUAGUAGUAGUAUUUACUUUCCUACUUUAUUUCUGUUCCCAUCUUUUUAGUAACUAGGGUUUCGGAGUGGUGAGGUGGUACCAUACGUUAGCCUUGUAGGGGUUAGUCCAAAUAAGGGUGGGUCCAUUUUCGGUAUUGUCCAAAAGUUUAUUUUAGUGGGACCCUUUGUUGGUCUCCAAACGACCUUAAU